GUUUCAGACAGAGUAUUUAAACACUGAAGAAGCAGGGUUUGGCUGGGCCUGGUGACACACACCUUGAGUCUCACUCAGUACUUGGGGAGCAGAGGCAGGUGGAUUUCUGAGUUCUAGGCCACCCUAGCCUAGAUAAGGAGCUCCAGGACAACCAGGGUUAUAUAGUGAAACCCUGACUCAAAAAGCCUACCCACAAAAUAAUAACACUGCUAGUUGAUUUAACAAUAAAUACGGAAGGGCAGACCAGGGGGAAAAUGAUUCCUGCAGUAAUUCUGGGCUUCAUGCUUUCGAAGUGAUUCAUAACAGUGGAAGCCUCACUUCAGAUUUUCGGGAGGAAGAGAAAGUCUGGCUAGGUGUGCUCCAGAGCCUGUGGUUGGCUUAUGGGAUUUCCCUUGAUCCUUUCCCACAGCUAGUUUUGUCAGGGAGGGUAAACUUCUGGUACAACUCAGGUUUAACUAGUUGCACUAGCUAUAUUCCAAGAAUUAUUUUUUGCUUCAUCUGUAUAGCCUCUCCUUCAGCUCUUUUGUUGUGGUUGUUGUUUUGUUUUGUUUUUAAAGAGACAGAUAAUCUUUCUCUGUAGCCUAGGCUGUCCUAGAGCUCAGUACAUAGCCCAGGCUGGCUUCAAACUUGACAUUCCUCCUGCCUUAGCCUCCCAAGUGCUCAGAUUCAUAUACAGAAGGAAUGUUGAAAAGCAUUUGAGUUUUUUCAAGUAAAGAGACAAGUUCUGGGGGCUGGGGAGAUAGGUGGCUUAGCAGUUAAGAACACUUGUAAAGGACCCAGGUUUGGCGCCAACCACCCACAUGUCUGCUUAACCUUUAGCUGCAACUCCAAUUCCUGGGGAUCUGACCCCCUCUCAUGGCUCCUGAAGGCCCUGCAUGCAUAUGGUGUAUAGACAUAUAUGCAGGCAAAACACCCACAUAGAUAUGAAAGUAUUUCGUUUGCUACAAAAGAUCCUUGUACCUAUGAGGUAGAGGACAAUAAAAUUAAUAUUGUUGCUUUUUUGUUUUAUUUAUAAUUAUAUUCAAAAGACUAAAAAUGCAGCCAGGCAUGGUAGUACAUGCCUAUAAACCCAGCACUUGGGAAGUAGAGGCAGGAAGACCAGAAGUUCAUUCAGGGGCAAUCUGGGCUAUUUUGAGACCAUGUUUCUAGAAAAGCAAAAACUCAAAACACAAAAACUGCUCAGCAGUUACUUGCUAAGCUCUAGUUGGUGCCACCAGUUGAUUCUGGUGGAUACUGGCAGGUGGUGGGUGACCUGACCUUAAAAGUCAGUAAAAUGUCAGUAAAAUGUCAGCAGAGUCCCCCACUGUUCUGUCCAGGAACUUGUUUGGGGCUGUGAACUUCCCCGACUUCUUCCAGUGCGUAUACAUCAGUGAAGCCACCCCUCUCCACCUUUUAGCAUUUUAGGCAGUAUGUGUAUGAAUCCUAUUUUGUGAGAACAACCUUGUCAUAAAGAACAGGGUAGGAAUCCAGGCAAUGUGAUCAGGCCCUCCCUUCCCCCUUUUAAACCGAUUGGCCCAGGAGAGGUGAAGUGUUAUGAGGCUGUACUAAGAUAAUAGCAUAGAUAAUAGGUGUCUAUGACCUGUGAAGUGUGGUCCAUCUAAAAUACUACUCCUGCUUCGAAAGCUCCUGAGUAAGCCUUCAUGUAAGAAGGAGUUCACCGGGGAGAUUCCCUCUUUAAUAUAGAUAGAAAUAUUCUUUAUCAGAGAUUUAGGAUAGCAUUUUGCUAACUGGUAAAUAAAAACAGAUGUACAUAUGUAAGAAUGUUUAUUUGUUGCACAUAACUUUUUUGGUAUAAAAUAAAUGUAGACAUUACCUG
rnacentral:lncRNA from 1 species